GACGAACCGUGCGAACGUUGUUCGGAAUCACUGGGCUUAAAGGGCGCGUAGGCGGGUGGCCGCGUCCGCGGUGAAAUCCCCCGGCUCAACCGGGGAAGGGCCGCGGGUACGGGCGACCUCGAGGCGGGUAGGGGCGUGCGGAACACUGGGUGGAGCGGUGAAAUGCGUUGAUAUCCAGUGGAACUCCGGUGGCGGAAGGCGGCACGCUGGACCCGAUCUGACGCUGAGGCGCGAAAGCCAGGGGAGCGAACGGGG
rnacentral:rRNA from 1 species